rnacentral:rRNA from 1 species
AUGGGAGACAUGUUGGAUCAACAUGAAUACUUCAGGGAUUAUCGCCUGACUCAAAAAGGGAAACUCUUGUGGAAUCAAAUUGAAAUGUUGCAUUGGUAUGGUUGGAAUUUAUGCUUGAGAUAUGAUUAUACUUGUUGCUCUAGGAUGAAGGCUAAACGCCUUCCCUUUUCAUGUAAAUUUAAUGAUAAUGAAACCUUGGCUUCUUAUGCUAAUGGUAGAUAUGAUUACUAUGAUGUGGAACAAAUAGAAGAAUUUGUUGCUUUUAAGGGUGCUUAUAUAAUUAAAUCUCUGUUUGAAAAGUGUGAAGAUCAUGAUGAUGUUGUUUAUAGAACUGAAAAUUUUGCUAUACUUAUAUAUUUCUGA